rnacentral:rRNA from 1 species
UGGCAGCAGGCGCGCAAAUUACCCAAUCCAGAAAUUGGGAAGUGGUGACGAAAAGUACCGAAGCUGGCCCUAUGGGUCAGAGUUUGGAAUGGACGAUACGUAAAAUCUAUCGAGAACUCAACUGGAGGGCAAGUCUGGUGCCAGCAGCCGCGGUAAUUCCAGCUCCAGUAGCGUAUCGCAAAGUUGCUGCGCUUAAAACGUUCGUAGUUGGAUCACAGUCUGUGCGGGCGUGGGCCCGGGUUGCGUGCGAUUUACCGACUGAGCUGGCACACAGUGCGAGUCAGAAGGGAGUGCGUUUACACCCGUGUCGUGAGCGCCCGUGCAGUAAUUGCACGCGAGGAUGGCCUUUGACCUUCAGUGCGUUGAGGGCGGUGUCUCGCGGAGUGUGCCUUGAGUAAAUCAGAGUGCUUAAAGCAGGCGUUACGCUUGAAUGUUGAUAGCAUGGAACGAACAAUAGUGUAUGGUGUGUGUUGGUCUCGGUGCGCCGGUCAUUGCGAGCGACGCACUGCAACACACGACACCGACCGCCAGUUACGGAUGUUGGUUCCGUAUUGGGGUACUGAUUAAGAGGAGCGGUUGGGGGCAUUGGUAUUUGGCAGCGAGAGGUGAAAUUCUUAGACCUGCCAAGGACCGACAAAUGCGAAGGCAUCUGUCCAGACCGUAUCCAUUGAUCAAGAGCGAAAGUGCGGGGAUCGAAGAAGAUCAGAUACCUUCCUAGUCCGCACCCUAAACUAUGCCAACUCGGGAUCAGUUUGGAGCGCGUUUCCAAGCUCGAGAUUGGUCCCCCUGGGAAACCUAAAGUUUUUCGGUUGCGGGGGGAGUAUGGUCGCAAGGCUGAAACUUAAAGGAAUUGACGGAAGGGCACCACCAGGGGUGGAGCCUGCGGCUUAAUUUGACUCAACACGGGAAAACUUACCUGGUCCGGACAUUGAAAGGAAUCACUGGCUGAAGCCCAUUGAUAAUACMRUGGCAAGUGGUGAUGGCCGUUCUUAGUACGKAGAGUGAUCCGUUUCAUUAAUUUGUUUAACGUGCGCAAUCUCAAUCUCGAUUUGGAGAACCAGAGCAGGCGUUUGCAAGAGUGUUUUUGGCAACAGAAGCGCUGUUGUGAGCGUUGCAGGCAAUAUUGGUGGGAGUCUGGGUGUUGUGACUUGUUUACGCAAGGUGCGGCGCUUGGGUUCCAAUGCCGGUAUUCCCUCUGGCCUGGCAGAGUAUCGCCCGCAAGGGAGGUGCUUUGUACCAUCGAGAGASGUCGGAACAUAUCCAAAAUCCGAGAAAGUGAGGCUAUAACAGGUCUGUGAUGCCCUUAGAUGUUCAGGGCUGCACGCGCGCUACAAUGGCAACGACAGYGAGUGUCUGCAUCGAAAGAUGUGGGUAAGCUUGUAAUCGUUGCCGUGAAGGGGAUUGACGUUUGUAAAUACSUCAUGAAAGAGGAAUCCCUAGUAGAUGCGAUUCAUGAGAUCGCAUCGAUUAAGUCCCUGCCCUUUGUACACACCGCCCGUCGCUACUACCGAGUGAAUAGUGUCAUAAUGCCUUGGGAGCGGAUGCCUCUUCAGUUAACGCUGGAUUGGUGCUGCGAUCAGCGUAGAAUGGCGCAAUUUCGAGGAAGUAAAGUCGUAACAAGGUUUCCGUAGUGAACC